UGGAAGCGUCUGGAAAGGCGCGCGAUACAGGGUGACAGCCCCGUACACAAAAAUGCACAUGCUGUGAGCUCGAUGAGUAGGGCGGGACACGUGGUAUCCUGUCUGAAUAUGGGGGGACCAUCCUCCAAGGCUAAAUACUCCUGACUGACCGAUAGUGAACCAGUACCGUGAGGGAAAGGCGAAAAGAACCCCGGCGAGGGGAGUGAAAAAGAACCUGAAACCGUGUACGUACAAGCAGUGGGAGCACGCUUAGGCGUGUGACUGCGUACCUUUUGUAUAAUGGGUCAGCGACUUAUAUUCUGUAGCAAGGUUAACCGAAUAGGGGAGCCGAAGGGAAACCGAGUCUUAACUGGGCGUUAAGUUGCAGGGUAUAGACCCGAAACCCGGUGAUCUAGCCAUGGGCAGGUUGAAGGUUGGGUAACACUAACUGGAGGACCGAACCGACUAAUGUUGAAAAAUUAGCGGAUGACUUGUGGCUGGGGGUGAAAGGCCAAUCAAACCGGGAGAUAGCUGGUUCUCCCCGAAAGCUAUUUAGGUAGCGCCUCGUGAAUUCAUCUCCGGGGGUAGAGCACUGUUUCGGCAAGGGGGUCAUCCCGACUUACCAACCCGAUGCAAACUGCGAAUACCGGAGAAUGUUAUCACGGGAGACACACGGCGGGUGCUAACGUCCGUCGUGAAGAGGGAAACAACCCAGACCGCCAGCUAAGGUCCCAAAGUCAUGGUUAAGUGGGAAACGAUGUGGGAAGGCCCAGACAGCCAGGAUGUUGGCUUAGAAGCAGCCAUCAUUUAAAGAAAGCGUAAUAGCUCACUGGUCGAGUCGGCCUGCGCGGAAGAUGUAACGGGGCUAAACCAUGCACCGAAGCUGCGGCAGCGACGCUUAUGCGUUGUUGGGUAGGGGAGCGUUCUGUAAGCCUGCGAAGGUGUGCUGUGAGGCAUGCUGGAGGUAUCAGAAGUGCGAAUGCUGACAUAAGUAACGAUAAAGCGGGUGAAAAGCCCGCUCGCCGGAAGACCAAGGGUUCCUGUCCAACGUUAAUCGGGGCAGGGUGAGUCGACCCCUAAGGCGAGGCCGAAAGGCGUAGUCGAUGGGAAACAGGUUAAUAUUCCUGUACUUGGUGUUACUGCGAAGGGGGGACGGAGAAGGCUAUGUUGGCCGGGCGACGGUUGUCCCGGUUUAAGCGUGUAGGCUGGUUUUCCAGGCAAAUCCGGAAAAUCAAGGCUGAGGCGUGAUGACGAGGCACUACGGUGCUGAAGCAACAAAUGCCCUGCUUCCAGGAAAAGCCUCUAAGCAUCAGGUAACAUCAAAUCGUACCCCAAACCGACACAGGUGGUCAGGUAGAGAAUACCAAGGCGCUUGAGAGAACUCGGGUGAAGGAACUAGGCAAAAUGGUGCCGUAACUUCGGGAGAAGGCACGCUGAUAUGUAGGUGAAGUCCCUCGCGGAUGGAGCUGAAAUCAGUCGAAGAUACCAGCUGGCUGCAACUGUUUAUUAAAAACACAGCACUGUGCAAACACGAAAGUGGACGUAUACGGUGUGACGCCUGCCCGGUGCCGGAAGGUUAAUUGAUGGGGUCAGCGCAAGCGAAGCUCUUGAUCGAAGCCCCGGUAAACGGCGGCCGUAACUAUAACGGUCCUAAGGUAGCGAAAUUCCUUGUCGGGUAAGUUCCGACCUGCACGAAUGGCGUAAUGAUGGCCAGGCUGUCUCCACCCGAGACUCAGUGAAAUUGAACUCGCUGUGAAGAUGCAGUGUACCCGCGGCAAGACGGAAAGACCCCGUGAACCUUUACUAUAGCUUGACACUGAACAUUGAGCCUUGAUGUGUAGGAUAGGUGGGAGGCUUUGAAGUGUGGACGCCAGUCUGCAUGGAGCCGACCUUGAAAUACCACCCUUUAAUGUUUGAUGUUCUAACGUUGACCCGUGAUCCGGGUUGCGGACAGUGUCUGGUGGGUAGUUUGACUGGGGCGGUCUCCUCCUAAAGAGUAACGGAGGAGCACGAAGGUUGGCUAAUCCUGGUCGGACAUCAGGAGGUUAGUGCAAUGGCAUAAGCCAGCUUGACUGCGAGCGUGACGGCGCGAGCAGGUGCGAAAGCAGGUCAUAGUGAUCCGGUGGUUCUGAAUGGAAGGGCCAUCGCUCAACGGAUAAAAGGUACUCCGGGGAUAACAGGCUGAUACCGCCCAAGAGUUCAUAUCGACGGCGGUGUUUGGCACCUCGAUGUCGGCUCAUCACAUCCUGGGGCUGAAGUAGGUCCCAAGGGUAUGGCUGUUCGCCAUUUAAAGUGGUACGCGAGCUGGGUUUAGAACGUCGUGAGACAGUUCGGUCCCUA
rnacentral:rRNA from 1 species